UCACGCUGUAAACGAUGUCGAUUUGGAGGUGUUCCCUUGAGGAGUGGCUUCCGGAGCUAACGCGUUAAAUCGACCGCUGGGGAGUACGGCCGCAAGGUUAAAACUCAAAUGAAUUGACGGGGGCCCGCACAAGCGGUGGAGCAUGUGGUUUAAUUCAAUGCAACGCGAAGAACCUUACCUACUCUUGACAUCCAGAGAAUUUAGCAGAGAUGCUUUAGUGCCUUCGGGAACUCUGAGACAGGUGCUGCAUGGCUGUCGUCAGCUCGUGUUGUGAAAUGUUGGGUUAAGUCCCGCAACGAGCGCAACCCUUAUCCUUUGUUGCCAGCACGUUAUGGUGGGAACUCAAAGGAGACUGCCGGUGAUAAACCGGAGGAAGGUGGGGAUGACGUCAAGUCAUCAUGGCCCUUACGAGUAGGGCUACACACGUGCUACAAUGGCGUAUACAAAGAGAAGCGACCUCGCGAGAGCAAGCGGAACUCAUAAAGUACGUCGUAGUCCGGAUUGGAGUCUGCAACUCGACUCCAUGAAGUCGGAAUCGCUAGUAAUCGUAGAUCAGAAUGCUACGGUGAAUACGUUCCCGGGCCUUGUACACACCGCCCGUCACACCAUGGGAGUGGGUUGCAAAAGAAGUAGGUAGCUUAACCUUCGGGAGGGCGCUUACCACUUUGUGAUUCAUGACUGGGGUGAAGUCGUAACAAGGUAACCA
rnacentral:rRNA from 1 species